rnacentral:rRNA from 1 species
UAAGGAAUAUUGGACAAUGGAGGCAACUCUGAUCCAGCCAUGCCGCGUGAAGGAAUAAGGCCCUAUGGGUUGUAAACUUCUUUUAGACGGGACAAAACCCCUUUACGUGUAAAGGGUUGAUGGUACUGUCAGAAUAAGCAUCGGCUAACUUCGUGCCAGCAGCCGCGGUAAUACGAAGGAUGCAAGCGUUAUCCGGAAUUAUUGGGUUUAAAGGGUGCGUAGGCGGACUAAUAAGUCAGUGGUGAAAGCCUGCAGCUUAACUGCAGAAUUGCCAUUGAUACUGUUAGUCUUGAGUACAGUUAAGGUAGGCGGAAUGUGUCAUGUAGCGGUGAAAUGCUUAGAUAUGACACAGAACACCGAUUGCGAAGGCAGCUUGCUAAGCUGUAACUGACGCUGAGGCACGAAAGCGUGGGGAGCAAACA